rnacentral:rRNA from 1 species
AUGGCUAACAUUGAAGCUGGUGUCAAGCCAGCCAUUGAUCAUGAGACUGCAACAUUGAUCCCAAACAGUGGAAGCUUAGAAGGUUCAAGCAGGGUCACAAAGGCCACCAGGUUAAGAGACGACGACGAGGUCAUCGAGAUCAUGUUUGAUGUGCAACAUGAUGCAGUGCCGGUCCAAGGCGUCAGGCCAGUGGCCGCAGAAGCUGUGGUGGCCGCCGUGAUGAAGAGAUACGACAGAAGCAAGAGCACCGUUGCGGUGGCGCUCAAGGGCUUGCAGUUUGUGAGGGCGAAAGUAGGCUCUGGCGGCUGGGCUGCUGUGGAGAAGCGCUUCAACCACCUGCAGGUUGAUGACGUCCUGCUCCGUUCCAGAUUCGGGAAAUGCAUUGGUAACUUGAGCAGUUUGUUUCAGUGCUAUGAUGGUGCUAGUGCUAGGAUCAUUUUGUUGAAAACAUGCUUUUCAGCUAUCAAAUACUGGGAACUCAUUUUGUCCUUCAAAAAUAGAUCUCAUUGGAAAAAACUAUAA